UGACCUGCGGCGCGUGGGGCCUAAGCGCAGCUGCCUGUGGCGGCGCGUGAGGGCGCGUCCGGCCGUUCCUGGGCGAUAUACCGAGCUAUUGCUCGAUGAAGGAAUUCGUAUACGUGAUCGCCUAAAUAGUACUUUUGCAGGCCAGUUUAGCUUGAGGUCGAGCGUACAUGGGGUUGAGGCAUAGCUGUCAUAGCUUCCGCAUUAUAAAAGUUUCGGUCUUUUAUCUUGUAUUCUAUUUUCUUGUACGC